UCGAGAAUCAUUCACAAUGGGGGAAACCCUGAUGGUGCGACGCCGCGUGGGGGAAGAAGGUCUUCGGAUCGUAAACCCCUGUCAUGUGGGAGCAAGCAGCGAUGUAGAUAGUACCACAAGAGGAAGAGACGGCUAACUCUGUGCCAGCAGCCGCGGUAAUACGUAGGGGGCGAGCGUUGUCCGGAAUCACCGGGCGUAAAGGGUGAGUAGGCGGUUAAUUAAGUCGGAAGUAAAAGGCAUCAGCUCAACUGAUGUAAGCUUUCGAAACUGAAUAACUUGAGUGCAGGAGAGGUAAGCGGAAUUCCUAGUGUAGCGGUGAAAUGCGUAGAUAUUAGGAGGAACACCAGUGGCGAAGGCGGCUUACUGGACUGUAACUGACGCUGAGACACGAAAGCGUGGGGAGCGAACA
rnacentral:rRNA from 1 species